ensembl:lncRNA
GUAUCCUGCCAAGGCAAGAUAGAAGCUGGCUUUUCCUUGCUUCCUCUAACCUGCUGACUUAAAUUUGCAAGGCCUAGAAGUCAAUAGCAGGGGAGUUACUGUUGAGAUCUGGAAGCCAGGAGCCAUCACUGCAAAAGAGCAGGCUCGACACUUUGGAAUAUAAGAGCAUUACUGGCUGUCUCAAAAUACAGGGAUGUGUUUAACACUGGGAUGCAGUACAUUCCUGCACACAUAGUUCGUGAAGCCAUGAAGUUCUCAAAAUGCUGACAUCUCACAGACCUGUUACCAAAGAUGACCAGGGUCAACAGACUAUCCAACGCAACCUUCAUCUAAACCUCUCAUAAAGCUCUGGAUGUAAUGAAACAGUAUUUGGAACACCGCCUUGAAAGGAACAGCUAUCCUUGCAGAACAUUUACAAGCUUCCCUGUGUCUCCAUUGUUUAAAAUAUGUUUGAUAUUACAUAUAAUUCCAGGGUAUGCUCAGCACUUGCAGAAAUUGCAAUUUCUUUUCACACAAGUGCACUGCUGUUAACUGGAAGAACAGUACUACUAUUCUUUCUGGUCCUAAUGCUGUGUAGCAUUUUGCAGUAUAUACUAUUCAACUCUUUAAGAAAAAAAUCUUUGCAGCUUUUAGGCUACUACUCUCUGGUCCCGUGUAAGCGAUUUCAAGUAAUAAACACAAAUUGUAGUCGAUAAAAGUACCAGUAGAGAAACAAAACAGAAACAAACAAGAAAUGUGUUCGUGAGUUAUUUUUAAACAAGAAAUGAAGCCAGCUCCAAAUAUAUGAUUGGGACACCUAAAUGAGUAGAUCAGUCUUGUUGCACAAAGUUAAGACAUGGUUGACCGUGACUGAAUGAACAUGGUCUGCACCAAAUUUCAAGAGCUGUGAAAAGAGAGCAGCUCUUCAUCUACCAUCUGAGGAUCCAGCUGUCAACAUCACAAGAACAAUAGCCUCAACUUUCAACAUGUUGUUCUGAAAAUAAAAGGGUUUCUCCUCCUGAUACUGACCCUGAAUGCAAGAGAUUUCUGAAAUUGUACAUCAACUAUAAAGAUGAACAGAAAUCUGAACUUCAGCACCAGGAAAUUAUUUGUCUCAGCCUAUGGUAGCAGUAAAAACCUCCUCCCUCAGUCUGCUUCAAGAUAAUCAAGUUAUAUCCUUAAAAACUUUCUGUAAAGAGAUUAGCUAUUUCACCAGUCUUGAGUGCCUACGGGCUACAGAAGACAACGGCUUUGAGUGUCAGAAAAAAUUCUUCCUUUUUAUUUCACAACAGGAGGUAAGAAGCAUACAUGGAAGAGGGCUUUCUAAUCUACUUGCAUCUGGCUAUACUGACCAUUUCCCAACAAUGGCCCAUUACAGGGGCAAGCAGGAGAUACAGACUCUGGGCAGGGGCAUCAUGUAUGCCUCUUGUUAAAAUGCUUUUAACCACAGAAAGAGAUGAAAUCCAGG